UUCUGCGGCUCCGGCGCCGGCGCCGGCGCCGGGGAGGAGCGAGCGGAAGAGGGAGAGCUUGGGGAGGAGGUUGGAGGGGACGUCGGCGGCGAGGAUGGAGGGGCGGCAGCGGACGAAGCGGAGGAUCUGGGGAGGGGAGAGGGAGGCGCUCCCGCGGAGGAAGGAGACGACGGCGUCGGGUCGGGCCGGGGAGGAGAGGCCGGAGAGGAAGCGGGACGCGGCGUAGAGGGCCUUGUCGGGGGGGAAUCCGACGCGAUCCACCAGGUACUGUGCCAUGAACGGCGUCGGCGUAGGAGGAGGCGCCGCCGCCGCCGGAGAGGAGGCGGAGAAGCGGCGGCACCGGAGGAGGAGGAGGAAGAGGGAGAGGAAUUGAGACGACGGCGACGGGGAGGACGCGGAGGAGCUCCGAGCGGUCGUUAGGGUUCUAAGCACCGCCAUUGAUGGUGGGUUCGGAUUAGGGUUUAAGGACAAAAGAGAUGUGGAGAGGCUUUGGGGAUGAUGAAGCGCCGCCCCUCGCGAGAGCGAGCGAGAGGGAAAAGGUGUUCGUCGAAAUUGGACCUCGAUUAGGCCCAUUGGCCUUUGAAUGUGAGUUGGGCUGCAACCGAACCAAACCGGGCCGGAAUUGUAGGUUGGGCUGGAUCGCUUAAAAUCAUCGAGUAUAUUAAUUUUUUUACCGACGUAACUUCAGUUUCGUUUGGAAUUGCGGAGAAAUUGCGUUACGUCCAGUAAAAUAAAAAAAUCCAAUAAAAAAAUAUCCUAUAUGUUUUAGUAAGUAAUUUUGCAUUCCUGCACUCCCAUCAAAUAACGCAGAACCAUUUCCCUAUAUAUUUUUACUCCAACUUCAUUUAAUAGGGUCAAAUAGACCUUAAUACCAAACUAAGCCUUAGUUAAAUCAUAUUUUAACUAAAUUAUUCCAAUUAUUAUUUAUUUAAAAAGAGAAAGAAAAAGGAUUUUUUUUCUUUUGCUCUACCAUGUUGGUUGUCUAAGUUGAAUACAAAUCAACCACUCUUUCUUUGCUCACUCCUUAAUGUAACGCAUUAAAAAAUUAACCCUAGGACAUUUCUUAAACUAACCUAAAAUAUAAAACAAAUAUCCUACUGAGCUAAGCAGAUAAAUACAUUUUGAAGUACUUGUCGUUACAAGUAUUUAGGAGUUAGUGACAUGACGUGCUUCUUUAAACAAGUGUGUUACCUUGUUUGACCAGUAAUGCUUAAAAUAUUGUGAUUAGUGAUUAUAUUUGUUUUCGACUUGCAUUAGACAUAUUAGAAUUCUGUCUUGUAUAUAUGGUAUAAAAGGGGGUUUUUUUUGCAAAUAGCCCCCUGACAAAUUUUAUUUGCAAAAAUAAUCCCGUCUAAAAAUUAUUUGCAAAAAUAGCCCUGCCCCUGCCACGCCAGCGCCACGCCAGCGCCACGCGGCCAGGACGGACCCAGAUGUUUAAGUUGAAUACGGUGAACCAUUCACCGUAUUCAAUACAAGAUUUUUGUAAUGGACACGGUGAAUCAUUCACCGUGUCCAAUACAAAUACCCCAACAAUGGCUAAGUUGGAGGUAUUUGUAUUAGACACGGUGAACCAUUCACCGUGUCCAAUUAUUUGUAUUGGACAUUCACUGUGUCCAAUACAAAAAUUUUGUAUUGUGUUGGGAACCGGAUGGAUCGUCCGUCAUGUGCUACCAACAAAGAUGCACGAAAAAUAGAGAAAAUCGACCGAACGGUAAAAGAAAUAAAUGCAGAAAGAAGAAACCAAGAUUUACGUGGUUCGGCAAUUGCCUACGUCCACGGGGAGAGCGAGAGAGAUGUAUUCCACUAUAUGAAGAAAUAAAAGUACAAGCUUACACCGUAUGUCUUCUCCGGAUAAAAAACCAAGAACCUUAUGGUGAAUUCCACCUUUCUUGUUCCAACAAAAACUCCAAGAAAAUACCAGAAAAAGCUUUUCGUAAAACCGAGAAGACCAAAUUAGAGAAGUAUAGAAACUCUAACCAAAUUCCUUUAUGCCGUUGCUUCGAAGAAUCCGAACCGCUCAGGCAAUUGGUCGAGAAACCGUCCCUCCGCCGCCAACGUCAAUCCGUCGUUGCAUGCGAGCAACCUUCCUUCUCUUGCUACCGUACGACGAGGCACCUUAAUUAAUUAGCUUGGACCAUAUCUACGUGGUCCACGUGGGUCUUUCAAGGUGACGAGAGGGGUAAUGACCCUCUCGUCACCACCUACCCGCGGCGCACCGUGGACGCGGUACGCCGCGGGUAGGCCGUCGCACGGGUUUGAUUAAUCAAACCCGUGCGACGGGUAUCUUAAAAACAGGUAAUUAAUCGUAUACCACUUANAUCUGGGGAGGAGAGAGGGAGGCGCUGCCGCGGAGGAAGGAGACGACGGCGUCGGGUCGGGCCGGGGAGGAGAGGCCGGAGAGGGAGCGGGACGCGGCGUAGAGGGCCUUGUCGGGGGGGAAUCCUACGCGAUCCACCAGGUACUGUGCCAUGAACGGCGUCGGCGUAG
rnacentral:lncRNA from 1 species